rnacentral:rRNA from 1 species
UACGGAGGAUCCAAGCGUUAUCCGGAAUCAUUGGGUUAAAGGGUCCGUAGGCGGUUUAAUAAGUCAGUGGUGAAAGCCCAUCGCUCAACGGUGGAACGGCCAUUGAUACUGUUAGACUUGAAUUAUUAGGAAGUAACUAGAAUAUGUAGUGUAGCGGUGAAAUGCUUAGAGAUUACAUGGAAUACCAAUUGCGAAGGCAGGUUACUACUAAUGGAUUGACGCUGAUGGACGAAAGCGUGGGUAGCGAACAGG